UCAACGGUAGAGUACUCGGCUUUUAA
rnacentral:tRNA from 1 species